rnacentral:tRNA from 1 species
AGCCAGUGUGGUGCAGUGGUUAGAGUGUCGGACUAGGACCUUGGGAGACCAGGGUUCAAAUCCCCACUCGGCCA